AAAAAUAGAGACUUUUCAGCCCAGAAAGAAAGCCACCUUGUCCGCUGCCCAGGCUGGAAAAGACACGGUCCAGAACAUUUAUUCUGCCAUGCUUCAGUCUUUCAGGCAGAAAAAGCCCUGGCAGGAGUUGAUUUUGCAAGUUGAACAGAGAAGACUCGUCUUUGGAGUGGAGGGGAUCAAAUGAUACUAGAUGUGAAAGCACUUUGGAAAGUUAAAGGGAUUAUACAAAGGCACGAUGCUAAUCGCUCCAGGAGAUGAUCUCUUUUCGUCCUCCCAACCGUCUAUGUGGUUGCCCUCUCUGGAGCUCACACUCAGCCUGGCCAAAACUAAGCUCACCAUCACUUCUAUGUUCAUCCCAGACUAACUCCUCAUCCGAUGUGUCUAUUUCUGGGCAGUGACACCAUCUCCUAAAGACAAAGCCAAAAGCAGGCUCAAGGAGCCAUGCCCUGAUGAGACUUUGUCGAUCUACUUCUUGGCUCUGUUUCAGGCCUACAUCAGUCAAAGUCAAAUUGUUGCUGCCUUUAGCAACAAUUGGUCACAUCUGGUCCUCGGUCCUGAACUAGCCUCACUAUGUGGAAUCCUUCCAGAUCGAGAAGAACCACAUGAAAUAAAUAAUAUUUUUGACAUAUUUAUUGCACUUUGCAUUUUAUAGAGGUUUCAGUAUUUCCUUCUACAUGCUUCAGCAUCUAGUAUGUGCCAAGCCUGGCACAAGCAGCGUGAUAGAGCUGUGAAGGCAACAGACAAGAUCUGCGUCCUCAUGAAGCCUACAAGGAAACAAGUACAAUAAUUUCAGAUUGUGGUGAGUGACGUGCAGGAAAUAGAUAAGGCAAUGAAACAGAGAGUAACCAGCCAACUGCAGUAGGAAGACUUCUUAAGACCUGAUGGUCAGGGAAGGCCUCUUUGAAGAGGUGACCUUUUCUCAGUUGUAACUUGCAUCUAUUUUUUCUAUUAUUGAAAAAUGUACAUAACAUAAAAUUUACCAUUUUAACCAUUUUUAGUGUAUAGUUCAGUAGCAUUAAGUACAUUCACAUUGCUAUUCAACUAUCAUUACCUUCCAUCUCCAGAAUUUUUCAUCAUCCCAAACCUAAAUUCCAUAUCCAUUGAACACUAACUCCCCACUCCUCUCUCCCCCCAGCCCCAAUGACCACCAUUAUGCUUUCUGCCUAUGAAUUUGACUACUCUUGGUACCUCACAGAAUUAAAAUCAUACAAUAUUUGU